ACUGGAGGCUGGGCUAGGAGAUGACAGUUUGGAUGUUAGAGUAGUUGUAUAACCUACACCUUGAGCCCUGCACCCCUUUGCGGUGAGGGGAAAUCCUGGGACUGACGCCGCCUGAUUCCUGCUUGAGGAGGAUCCCUGACAGCAGCCCCUGUGCAGUGACUGAGGAGUCCCACGUCAUCUUCGAACCUGAGGAUCAUUCAUGGAGUUUCAUCCAGAAGCAUACUAGAUGCUUGCUUCACAGGAAAAGCAGAAAGGCAUCAUCCCUGACCUUGAGCCAAUGUGCUUACACUCUAGUUUCAGACAUCACACAAGUGGUAAAAAAGGGCACAGUGCUGCAGUCCUUGCAAAGGCAAAACUCCUACUGACUUCCAUGAAAGCUUUGGGUAAAUAAAGACUGCAGGAUCAGCUUCUAUACUUGUAAGUAAUCCUUCCUCUGCCCGCUCCUGUAACAGUGGGAAGGUGACGCUACAGCAAAGCAUUGUGCCUCAGGAGACUGGAAAUAAAAUUCUAUUAUGAGACUUCACGUGAUGAGCCUUGCUGAAUUGCUGACACCGGACCUGGAUACAGUGUUCCGGUAGUGGUUGCAUCAGUGCCAAAUACAGGGGUAAUAUAACUUCUCUAUUCAUACUCAAGAUUCACCUAUUUAUACAUCCCAGGGUUAUAUUAGCCCAUGUGGUCACAGCAUAGCUCUAGGAGCUCAUAUUCAGCUGAGUAUAAACCAUGACCUCAGGUCUUUUUCAGAGUCAUUUUUUCCCAGGAUAGAGACCCCUGUCCUAUAAGUAUGGCCUACAUAUUGACUCAGGUGAACUACUGUGAAAGUGGUUGUACAUAAUAUAGUUGAAACACUUAUGUAAAAUAUACUAAACAGAUAUGUCAAGGCAAGGACAGGUGUAUUGGCCACAAACUAUUCUGUUUAAAGAGAAGAUGUACACUGCAUAAAUGUGCAAUUAAACUCUGUCUUCAUUGUCCAGAUCAUGCCCUCCUGCAGGAAAAGUCCAUGGGAAAAAAAUCAGGGUAGACAAACACUUCAUAGCAUCCUCACAGAAUUUCCUACAAAUUUUUGCAUUAGUCGGUAGGCUUUACCCACUGUCCUGUAAAUAUGGCCCAACAUAUUAGAAUCAUAUAGUAACUGCACAUGAGUUAGGAACACUUCUGUCAGAUGGUUUGUUGGGGAAGCCAUCUGUCUGGGGCAUAUCCAGUUCCAAUUAGUUGUAAUAAUAUAGUUUGUUGAAAUUUUUAUUUUUUUUUAAAUCAGGGAAAAUGGAAAUGAAAUAUUCUGUUUUAGGCUGGUUUGACCUGAAUCGGUCAGUUCAACAAAAGUUGGGUUUCCCUUUUGUGGGGUAUUGCCUUGUGGGGCCCUGAUUCUCUGCCAUAGGCCAGACUCCCUGGAAGACUACAUUUCCCAUAAUUUGAUGUCAACUCCCCUCUGUCCAGCCUGUGUGGUGCACUAGGAGAGUUGCAUAACUCUGGGUGCAUCAAAGGAGAUGAAGACUGGGGAGCCUGGGCCAUAGGGGAGAAUGGGGGAUUCAGGAUCUUGAACUACAACU